ACUCAAAUGAAUAGACGGGGGCCCGCACAAGCGGUGGAGCAUGUGGUUCAAUUCGACGCAACGCGAAGAACCUUACCGAGGUUUGAACUGUGCAGGACAGCCCUAGAGAUAGGGUCUCCCUUCGGGGUCUGCAUAGAGGUGCUGCAUGGCUGUCGUCAGCUCGUGUCGUGAGAUGUUGGGUUAAGUCCCGCAACGAGCGCAACCCUUGCCUCCUGUUGCUAACAGGUAAAGCUGAGCACUCUGGAGAGACUGCCGGUGAUAAACCGGAGGAAGGUGGGGAUGACGUCAAGUCCUCAUGGCCUUUAUGCCUCGGGCUACACACGUGCUACAAUGGCUGGUACAAAGGGUCGCAAAACCGCGAGGUGGAGCUAAUCCCAAAAAGCCAGUCCCAGUUCGGAUUGGAGUCUGCAACUCGACUCCAUGAAGUUGGAAUCGCUAGUAAUCGCGGAUCAGCACGCCGCGGUGAAUACGUUCCCGGGCCUUGUACACACCGCCCGU
rnacentral:rRNA from 1 species